AGCCGUCGUCUGAGGUCCUCCAGCAGCGGGCUGGCGGCGAGGGCCUCCUCCUGGAUGUCCGUGCUCCUGCCGUCCCCGAAGAAGUCGCACGCGGGACGAGGUGGGAACCAAAGCUCCGCUCUACCUGGGAGUCCCUGGAGCCCCUGGGAAAUUCUCUCUCUGCAGCGGCGGAAGUCCCCGGGGCCCAUCGCGGAGACGCCUGGUCACUGCUCUACCGCUGCUGCUGAAAGAGGCAAAGCAAAUUGAAGAAUUGGAGCACUGAAUAUAACAUCCACAGACAUUUGAAUUAGAAAAUGUAUUAAUUAUUUAUUGCUGCAUAACAAAUUACUCCAAAAUUCAAUGGUUUAAAAAAAUAAAC
rnacentral:lncRNA from 1 species